UACGUAGGGUGCAAGCGUUGUCCGGAAUUAUUGGGCGUAAAGAGCUCGUAGGCGGUCCGUCGCGUCGAAUGUGAAAACCCGGGGCUCAACCCCGGGCCUGCAUUCGAUACGGGCGGACUAGAGUUCGGUAGGGGAGACUGGAAUUCCUGGUGUAGCGGUGAAAUGCGCAGAUAUCAGGAGGAACACCGGUGGCGAAGGCGGGUCUCUGGGCCGAUACUGACGCUGAGGAGCGAAGGCGUGGGGAGCGAACAGG
rnacentral:rRNA from 1 species